GAUGAACGCUGGCGGCGUGCCUUACACAUGCAAGUCGAGCGAAGCGGGGACGGGUGAGUAACCCGUGGAUAACCUCCUCUAAGACUGGGAUAACUUCGGGAUACCUGAGCUAAAUCGGCCACUUAUAGAUGGAUCCUCGUUGCAUUAGCUAGUUGGUCAGGAAACGGCUGACCAAGGCAACGAUGCAUAGCCGGCCUGACAGGGCGAGCGGGCAAACUGGAACUGAGACACGGUCCAGACUCCGACGGGAGGCAGCAGUAGGGAAUCUUCCGCAAUGGGCGAAAGCAUGACAGAGCAACACCGCGUGAGUGAUGAAGGUCUUCGGAUCGUAAAGCUCUGUUAUUAGGGAAGCGGUAACUAAACAGAAAGCCACGGCUAACUACGUGCCAGCCGCCGCGGUAAUAC
rnacentral:rRNA from 1 species